rnacentral:lncRNA from 10 species
GAAGAGGACAUCAGCAGUGAGAACCAGGGAUGGCAGCCCGAGCAGCCGAACAGGCCUCAGCUUGAUGUUACAGGCUUUAAAGAUGAUGGCAGGGGGACAGGAGCCAAGGACUGAUGGUGGAUCUAGAAGCCAGAAAAGACAACCAAGCGGAUUCUCCCUAGAACCUCCAGAAGGAAAGGCAGCCUUGCUGGCUGAGCCCACUGAGACCCAUGCCAGGCUCCUGAUCCCCAGAGUGACCAGCUGGCCUGCCUGUGUGAGGAGAGAGCAUGUCUCUAGAAACAAGGAGAGACCAUGGGCUUGAAGUCAAGCUGAGCUGAGCGAGAUUCCUUCUUGGCCACCAGAAGACACUGUGACCUCCUAGCAAGCACUGUUACCUCUGCUGGGAAGCCUCCAGCCAUCCCUCCUCCCUACUGACCCUCCCUGGUUGUCUUUCCUCCUGCUUAUUCCAGCCAGCUCCACUGCCCCUUCUCUGGGAAGCCUUUCCAGACUCCGAAGGGUAGGCUCAGCCACUCCCUCCCCAUCUGAUUCUCCCACAGCAUCCACACUUCUCCCUGACAGCAAUCAUCACAAUUGUAAUGAAAUUAGUGUAAUAAUUUGUUGACAUUUGUCUCCCUGGAGUUGCAAACCCUCAGAGAACAGGGCCGGUGUCCAUCUUGUUCACAGCUCUGUCCUCAGAUGUGAGAAGAGCCCCUGGCACACUGUGCCCAGGAAGUCUCUGCUGGCUAGGACCAACCAAAACCUGAGUCUUAACUGCCUGCUCUAUAAAACACCUCGUUGAGCUGUUGCAAGGAUUAAAUGGCAUAAUGUUGUAAAGCAUUAAACAGGAUUACUCAUUAGGUAGUUGCUGUUCUUCUUAUUAUGAUGAUGUCAUUCCAUAAAUGGCCAGUAGAUUUGUUUUCCUAAAUCCCAGGGCCACCAGCUCACUCCCCUGUUCAGAAAUGUCUGGUUUACAGUUACUACAGAGCAAAGCCCCAUCUGCUUGAAAUGGAUCCCAAACCUCCCAGCAUGGUUUCCCUGGUGUCCCUGCACAAACCCUUUAUUUUUUUUUUUUUUUGAGAUGAAGUCCCGCUUUGUCAUCC